rnacentral:rRNA from 1 species
UACGGAGGGGGGCUAGCGUUGUUCGGAAUUACUGGGCGUAAAGCGCACGUAGGCGGCUUUGUAAGUUAGAGGUGAAAGCCCGGGGCUCAACUCCGGAAUUGCCUUUAAGACUGCAUCGCUAGAAUUGUGGAGAGGUAAGUGGAAUUCCGAGUGUAGAGGUGAAAUUCGUAGAUAUUCGGAAGAACACCAGUGGCGAAGGCGACUUACUGGACACAUAUUGACGCUGAGGUGCGAAAGCGUGGGGAGCAAACGGG